GUAACGUCUAGGUGUUUUUGUUAUUUUUAAAGAGUUCUCAUAUUCUUGUCUAUCUUCUGGGGAUAACUUUGCAAGUUUUUCCGGCUUCAUUGAAAUAUAUUUUGGUCGGUCGCUCAAUAUAAAACGUUCAUAAUCCUCUCUUGCUUCCGGAGUCAUUCGCGCUAGGUCACGUUCGGUCCAAUCUGCUGGGUCGACCCAAUUGUGAAAAAAAUUGCGCUUGAGUUUUGGCCUUUCCUCUUCUGUUGGUGGUGGUGUAAGGAAAUUAGGUUUAGGGGUAGCAGGCACUGGUGGUGCUAUCUCAACUAAUUCAUUGGGUUGUGGUAUUUCUGCAGGCACUAGUGGAGUUGUCUGAACAGGAGCUUGAGUCGGAACAUCCAUCUUAUUUUUGAAUGUGAGAAACCGAUUUAGUUGAUCAGAGUAUAAUUUGCUUUUUUCCACUGCGCUUAGCUGUGGUGCAUCCAUGAUUUCUUUCAUUCGCUGCUCGGCAUCAUACAUGGCAUUUACAAGUGGUGGUUGACGAUACGACUGUUUUUGUAUAAACUUUGCAAUCUCACCGGGAAGUACGUUUGUCUUGAGUCGUUGUUGAUCAUCUGUUGUUGGCUUUAAAUCCAACAUCAAAUACGUAUACCCGUGAGGUCGGCUCGUAGCAUCUUCAUAACUCCUCAUAAAUUCUUGUACUCUUCCAGGAUCUACUUGCCUUGCAAGCAUAGAAAUUUGCUGUUUAUCUCUUGGUGACUUGAACAGCACAAUAUAAUGGGCGUUUAGACUGAUAUUUCUCAUUUCUUUGCCUUGAUGGAAUAUAUUUUGAACAAUAUAGAUGAUAGAUAAAUUCCGAUGAUGACUUCCUUUCGUAAAAAGAUCAGAAAUACGUUUAUCUUUGCCAGAUUGAGCCAUAAGGUCGUCCAAUACGACCAAAUUCCGUUGCGAUACGUCCAAGUAAUCUGCGUUGUCGAUGUCUUCGGGGAUGCCUUGAUUAAACUCGAUUCCAGGCAUCGUUCUCAUCAUAUCAAAAUAGGAGGGUUGCCAUUGACCAUAACACCAAAUGAUACGUUGAGGAGCAGGACUUAUAGUUUUCUGUGCAUUCUCCAAGAGAGAUUUUACCCAUACAGUUUUGCCGCUUUGGGUACACCCAGCUACGAUGCACGUAAAUGGGUGUUGCAAAACUGCAGAUCCAUUAGUCGUUAUGUGAAUGUUGACGGUUGGUUUUUGAUCAUGCACUUUUUGUUUGUGUCGAUUUAAAUUGAACGGUUUAGAGAAAUAUUUCCC